GGGAUUUUUUGGAGAGAGAGUUCAGAGGACGUGAAACCGGUAGGGUGGAAACGGAUAGAGCCAACGAACAAGCCCGUAUUCAGCUAGUCGGCUGCGUGCGGCAUGCCUGUGUGUCCCGUUAGGGUGCAUGGGUGUGUGCGGUAUGCGGUCGGCUAGUGCAUUUGCGGGUGAUGUGCGCUGAGGCGUGUGGUGGAGUCCUGCGAACCGUCUAGAGAGGCCUCGCCUUCGGGCGAGAAACCUAUAGGCGGGGAGUAGGGUUUUCGCUGCACGUAGAUGAAACGGUUAGGUGCAAACGCGCUGCCGUGUCGCCGGGUUGAUCCCUUGGUCGGUCGCAUGCGACUAGGCCUUGGGGUUGAUCUUGGUGGCGCUGUAGUGCCCUGACCGAUCCUCGGUGUAAAAGUUGGUCAUCUCUCCGACCCGUCUUGAAACACGGACCAAGGAGUCUAGCGUAUGCGCGAGUCAUUGGGUGGAAAACCCAUAGGCGUAAUGAAAGUGAAGGUCUCCUCGAGGGACUGAUAUGCGAUCCGUUGCACUUCGGUGUACGCGGAGCAGCAUAGCCCCGUCUCGACUGCUUGCAGUGGGGCGGAGGUAGAGCGUAUUCGCUGGUACCCGAAAGAUGGUGAACUAUGCCUGAGCAGGAUGAAGCCAGAGGAAACUCUGGUGGAGGUCCGAAGCGUUUCUGACGUGCAAAUCGAUCGUCUGACUUGGGUAUAGGGGCGAAAGACUAAUCGAACCAUCUAGUAGCUGUUUCCCUUCCGAAA
rnacentral:rRNA from 1 species